rnacentral:rRNA from 1 species
CUACGGGAGGCAGCAGUGAGGAAUAUUGGACAAUGGGCGCAAGCCUGAUCCAGCCAUGCCGCGUGCAGGAUGACGGUCCUAUGGAUUGUAAACUGCUUUUGCACAGGAAGAAACAAUGCUACGUGUGGCGUCUUGACGGUACUGUGAGAAUAAGGAUCGGCUAACUCCGUGCCA